UAGAGAGAGACCCACUUUGGCGAUUUCUUUUGUUUCAUAGAGGCAACAUUUUCCAUCUAAAAUGCUCUGGUUUAUUCCAGAAAAAGAAGGGGGAAGAUAAAGCAUUCAGACUCGAAGUGUAACAAGAAAUGACAAUGAAUCCAGGAAGAUGUGGUUGCAGGACGUGAACAGAGUACAGAGCUGGAUGCGGCUUUAAAGCUCUGAAGAUUCAGAAAGCAGCUCUCUAAGCGCUGAGCAACCAUUUAUCAAUAUUACGGUUGGACUCAUUGCUCUCCCUGCCCUGGAGCUUUUGCCGAAGUCUCCUUCCAAUCAGUCAGCUCACGCUUUAAUCCAGUUAAUACCACUGAGCACUGGAGUCCCUUUCCUGCCGUAGCUUUUCUUCAGUCCAAGACGAAAGGAGAAACGUUUAGAUUCACAAGAGGUCUGUGUUUUCCAGCAUACUGAAGCAAUAUCAGAUAUAUGUGAAAAAAAGGAAGCAGAUUGUUUUCUUUCUUUUGGACAGAUGUGAGAAAUCUGUACAGUUUCUCAAACUCAGGUGAAGGUAAACUAGGCCUGUGUCUGCUGCAUGGCUCACCUGACUGCCAGAUAUGUUAAGGAAGUUAGUUGAUGAUGACAAUCAGAAUCCCAGAGGGGCACGUGGGUGGCUUAGUUGAUUGAGCAUCCGACUUCAGCUCAGGUCGUGAUCUUGCCAUUCCUGAACUUGAGCCCCACACUACGCUCACUGCUGUUGGUACAGAGACUGCAUUGGAUCCUCUGUCCCACUCUCUCUGCCCCUCCCCAGCUUGUGCUCUCUGAAAAAUAAAUAAACAUUAAAAAAAAAUAACAAAAAACAAGAACCCCAGAGACCUGGUCUACCAGGAAUUUGCAGUUUUAAUAAAAAAGGGAUGUCUACUAGUGCUGUGCUGUCUGUACUUUACUUUAAAACAAUUUCGCAUAGACAAUGAUUUAGUUUCAGUGUACAACAGCGGUUUCAGAGGACAUCCGAAAGAUGCUUCGUUACGAUUCAAAGUACUCUGAUUAGGAACACACUACGGGAAUAGUUAUCCAAUGUCGGAGAGAUGUGAGUCAGAGACCUAUACUCUCAGAGGAGCUAUUUCCAAACUU